AGGACGAACGCUGGCGGCGUGCUUAACACAUGCAAGUCGAGCGGAAAGGCCCUUCGGGGUACUCGAGCGGCGAACGGGUGAGUAACACGUGAGUAAUCUGCCCAUCGCUUCAGGAUAGCCAUCGGAAACGGUGAUUAAUACUGGAUAUGACAUUCCUUCGCAUGUUGGGGUGUGGAAAGUUUUUUCGGCGGUGGAUGUGCUCGCGGCCUAUCAGCUUGUUGGUGGGGUAAUGGCCUACCAAGGCUUUGACGGGUAGCCGGCCUGAGAGGGUGACCGGGCCACGACUGGGACUGAGACACGGCCCAGACUCCUACGGGAGGCAGCAGUGGGAAUAUGGACAAUGGGCGGAAGCCUGAUCCAGCAACGCCGCGUGACGGAUGACGGCCUUCGGGUGUAACCUCUUUCAGUCACAGACGAAGUUUUGCGUUUUUUGGUAGAGUGACGGUAGUGUGUCGAGAAGAA
rnacentral:rRNA from 1 species